UCCUUGAUAGCUCAGUCGGUAGAGCAACUGGCUGUUAACCAGUAGGUCGCAGGUUCGAGUCCUGCUCAAGGAGCCA
rnacentral:tRNA from 1 species